UUUUUUUUUUUUUUUUUUUGGGUUUGGUUUUUCCUGGAAUGGUGGAAAGAAAUGUUUCUAUGUACUUAAAUUGAUGAGAUGUACUGAAUUUUAGUGGAAUUCGGAAAGAAUAGUAUUGAUACUAAUAAUUACGCUGGGGACAACCUAAGAAAAGAACAAAAAGGAGAAAGGGAUCCAUAGUUGCAUCCAAUGGAAGAUAUACUCCCUCCGUCCCACUUUGAUAGUCCUGUUUUUUUUCACACAGUUUAAAAAAAAGUAGUUAAUUUUGUUGAAAAAGUAAAUUUAGAUUAUUAAUUUUCUAAAAUACCCUCACAUUAAAUGUGGUACAACUUUAUGGGAACUUGAAUUGAUGGUAAAAAAACGAAUCAAUUCUCAUUAAAUGGGGUAGGUUUAUAGUAACAACUACUUACAUUGAAUAAGGGUAUUUUAGAAAAAUUAAAAUACAACUACAUUCUUCAAUUGGAAAGUGGACUACAAUUUGAGACAGAUGAAAAGGGAAUACAAGACUAUCAAAGUGGGACAGAGAGAGUACUACUUAUGUAUGCAUGAGCCUUCCAUCUAAAAAAAUAAAAAUCCGAGAUUUAGUUGCGGCGAUGAGUCUUCGUUACUUUUUUUUUUUUUUGGAUCAAUCGUCACUUUUUUUAUCUAUAUCCUACUUUAUUCUAAUCUAACUAAGGGAAAUGCCAACUGGACAUACGGGAGGUUGAUAUAGAUAGUGACGGAACCAGGAUUUUUUCCUUGGGGAUGGCCAAAAUUUUUUCGGACAUAAUUACCUUAACAUGUUAUGUUCAAAAUAAUUUUCAUUUAUUUAAAUAUAUGACAUCCUAAAAUAUCAAAUUUUAAUUUUAAUUAUAAAGGUAUGUCUAUUUCAUAAAUAUAUAACAUAGUCAUAACUAAAAUUAAGGCAAGCAGUAACCUUUGAUUAAAUAUCAUAUAACAUCACAAACCACCUAAGUUGCACAUUAUGAGAAGAUGUCCCAAUAUGUCACUUGUGCAAAAACAAAAAUAUAACUAUGCAAUAUAAAUAUAAACUAUUUUCAAUUAAAAAAAGAUAAAAGUUAUGUUAGCAUACCUUGAAAUUUUAUCCUCUUUUAUUAAAAGUAAAUUGACAUUUACAUUCUUUUAUAGAACUAAAUUAAUGUAUAAUUGAAUCAAUGCUAAAUUUUCGAAUAACUUUCUUUUUUUAUGUACAUUAUUAGGCAAUCAUUCAAGAAAUUAUCUUUUAUCUUGUUUUGGAGCUUUGUUUUGAUUAUUCUCAUAAUUAAAAAUAUCCAUUCUAUAGACUAUAGAACGGAGCCAAGCUUUUUUCCUUGGGAGGGGGGUCAAAAUUUUUCUGAACAAAAUUAUCUUAAUAUGUUAUAUUCAAAAUAUUUUUCAUCUGUUUAAAUAUAUGACAUCUUAAAAUAUCAAAUAUUAAUUUUAAUUAUAAAGAUAUGUCUAUUUCAUAAAUAUGCAGCAUAGUCAUAACAAAAAUUAGGAUAAAAAUAACUUUUGAUUAAAUAUCUUAUAACAUCACAAACUAUCCAAAUUGUACAUUAUGAGAAAAUGCUCCAAUAUGUCACUUGUGCAAAAAACAAAAAUUAACUAUGCAACAUAAAUAUAACUAUUUUCAAUUAAUAAAAGAUAAAAAUUAUGUUAGCGUACCUUGAAUUUCAACCUCUUUUCUUAAAAAUAAACUGAGUUUUAUGUUCUUUUAUAGAACUAAAUUCAUAUGUUAUUGAAUUAGUACUGAAUUUUUGAACAAAAUUUUUUUUAUGUACAUUGUUAGACAAUCAUUCAAGAAAUUGUCUUUUAUCUUGUUUUGGAUCUUUGUUUUGAUUAUAUUCAUAAUUGAAAAUGUCCAUUCUAUAGUUGCAGUUGACAUAUGAAGAGUGAAAACAAAUAUAAUCAAUCUGUCAAUAACAUGAUAGAUUACUCAAUUUCGCGUCUUCACCAAAUCUUCAAGUAAUUAUUUGUAUAUUUGUAUAUGGGUCAACAAGAGUAUAGAUCACUAAUUUUAAGUUUUUUUAUCAAUCAGGCUAUGUUGCAUAUUUGUAUAUGGACCAAUGAAGUAAUUUUUUUUGUUUUAGCCCAUUGAUAAUUAUGAAUUGAGUCUUUUAUUAUAAUAUAUCAAAUUGGGUCAAUUUACUAUGGAUCAUCAAAAUAUAUGUUUAAUUUUUUGAAUGUUAAAUAAUUAGCACAAUACAAAAUAAAUAACUUUUUUUGGAGAAAAAAUUAAAUCAAAGGUGGCUAAUUUAUACACACCCACACACAGAUAUAUAUAUAUAUAUAUAAGCUCUCAUAAUAUAAACUAAAAUUAUAAAAAAUCAGGGGGGCCAACUUUGUCUUAUACAUAUAUUUACAUAUUAUGAAUUAAAAUUUUCAAAACUUAGGGAGGGCCAUGGCCCCCCUUGACUCCGUCAUUGGAUGGGGACAUAACCACCAUCGAACUAGACGGGUAUACUAUGCACCCAUCUGAAUUUUUUAAAGAAUCACAUAAUGUGACAAUUAGUGGGAGACAAGUUUUGACCGUUGCCGCUUGGUGGUGGCCACCAGCCUUUAGUCUUCGUUAAUUAGUAAAUAUUCAUUAUUAUUCCUUUGAUCAUGUUUGCAUGGGCUAAGUUGGUCAAGGAAACGAGCGAAAAGGCGCAGCGUCAUGGGUCAACACAGGAAUCUCAACUUCUGACGGAAUUACCAUGCAAGAUGAAUCAAUCCUUUCUUUCUUUCUUUUUUUUUUUUUUCAAAUAAUAGAUGCAAAUCGCUAAUUAAGUUAACUGAAAAUUUGCAUCAGAGGUAGCUUAUUUCAAUAACCCCACGGGUUUAAUGCACCGAAUUGCGAUGUUGUUGAUCCUAUGCAGGUACCUGGAUAAAAUGAUUCUUUUUUUUUUUUGUGGUAAUUUUUGGGUCCAGUGAAUUGGGCCAGUUCAAAAUCCAUCCUCUAGCUGGAGCUCUUGAUUUCUUGACCCUCUUGCCUCUUGGAAUGGUGGUGGCGUAGGCUGAUGGAUUUUCGUAAGUUCAUGGAACGGGCUUUCCUGAAAGUCUGGGGAAACAAGGUUCAAGUUGGUCCUUGUUCUAUGGUUCGAACAGAUCUGCUCAAGAGGACUCUGCCCUCUGGGGAAUGCGGUUUGGACUAGAAGGACAUCAGGCUCAUAGGCCCACUUCUUUUACAUAUAUAGCCCGUUAACAUUAUGGCAAUGUCAAAAAUUUGUUAAAUUACAGCAAUGCGCAAAUGUCGAGUAAUUAUUCAACCAGAAAAAAAAAAGUCGAGUACUUAACUAAAUUAGUAAUCAUUGACAUUGUUGCCUAUACACCAUAAAAGGACCUCUACAUAUAUUUGUAGUGCACUUAGCGAUAUGGCAUCAAAUCAAAUUUGUGACUGAAUUGGUUAGCACGAGUUAUUUUCUCAUAAAAGAUUGCAUGCUGUAAAGAAAUUUUUAUAAUCAAUCUAUGAUUUUGAAAACAUAUACCCUGAUCCAUUGUAGUAAUUGAAGCCGAGAACUCAUUUAUGCUUGAUAGUUACCCAAAAAAAAAAUAUCAAAUUUGGACUAUCUCAUUGUUCACAAAAAGGUACAAAUAUUUUUCUGGUGUCAAUUUUAUUUGAGAAGUCGGAUUUACAAAAAAAAAAAAAAAACUCGUUUCUAUGCAUCAGCAACAACGCUCUAAUCAAAGAAGAAUGAAGAAGAUAGCAGAAAUAAGUGAUUCACAAAUAAAGAAGGAACAACAAACAAUACUGUAGAAUUGAUAAUUCUAGAGCCAAGUGUUAGUUAACCUCGUGCAUGUUUUUUGGGAACCUUACACACAUAGUUUUGUGGAAAAUCUCGUAUCAAUAGUCUAAUUUACGGCAAGUGAAACAGCUUGAAUAUACUGUUGGGCAGAGGUAGGGUUGCAAACGAAACGAGCCGAGUCUCGACUAAAUUUUACCAAGCUCGAGCUCGAGCUCGAUGAGCCGGCAAAUUUCGAGCUCGAACUCGAAAAAAAAAUAAAAAAUAAUUAUUUUAUUUUAAAAAAAAUAAAUAAAAUAAUAUUUUUUUUCUUAAUAAAUAAUAAAAUAUUAAGGAUAUAUACGUAAUUUUACUAUGAAAAUAAAAAAAAUAUAUAUAAUAUACGUAAUUUUAUUAUUAAAUAAAAAAAUAUAUAUAUAUAUAUUUACCCAACCUCGUGAGCCGACUCGCGAACUAACGAGUUUAAUAUUCUGAGCUCGAGCUCGAACUCGAGUUGGACUCGAACAGGCUCGAGCUCGACUCGAGCGGCUCGCGAGCGGUUCGAUUCGUUUGCAGACCUAGGCAGAGGGGAAGCCACAAUUGUAGAGGGAUUCUUUACAUUUGGACAUAUCAUCAACAGUCUAACUCGAGCUCUUUCCAUUCUUUUUUUUUUUUUUUUUUUUUGUGAAGGAUUAAAAUUAGAAAACAAAAAAUGCAAACUUCUCGCUGGUUCUUCCUGUCAAAGUUUCAAACGGAUGUUAUUUUGGGAAUGUAUUUCAAGACCAUCCUAUUUUUCGCUACCCUUAAUUCCAUUACUGGUGGAGCAUUGCUAUAGUGCCUCCUCUGCUGGCAAAACGAUUCAUGACCCAAGAAUUGAACAGCCUGAUUCUAAAGACAGUCGAGUUUUAAUUGUUAGAUUAUUACUACUAGCUCAUAGGCGCUCGUUUCGAAAGAAUUCUUGCUGGCGCUGGCAAUGAGCCACACGAGGAGGAAUUCUUUCGUUUAAUAUUCUUUCAUUUGACCUUCGCAACAAAUAUUCAAGUCAUGGCGGAAGAUCUCGAAAUGCAGGGUAGCGAUGCCGGCAACAACAGGGACUCUGAAGGGCCAAAUGAAACGAGUACCAAGGGUUCCUUCCAUGGGGACCUGAUUCUCGCAAAGAAAUAUCAGCCUUCGCUGCGUCGGCGAAAAGUAAUUAAUUUGUUUCAAUUGUUGAUCAUCAUAAAAUCUGUUGGACUAGUGACAGCCAUCUUGUAUUUUAUGAUCACAGAACGCAACGAUGGGAGAGUCCUUCUAAUUUCCAUCGAUCCCACAGAUGAAUUUAUGGUUACUAAUUCAGACAAAAUGCUGGUGUUUGACGUCUCAGGAAUACACGUUGGUGCAAACAUUGUUGUUGGCGUAUCAGUCUCUUGGAGUCGUGUACGGAGACAUUGGCACUUCACCUCUCUACGUGUUGUCAUCUGUUCGGCUCGACAAACCUACGGAAGAAGACAUGAUCGGAAUCCUCAGUCUCGUCUUUUGGACCUUGACCAUAAUCCCGUUGAUCAAAUACGUCUUCAUUGUCCUUCGGGCUGAUGAUCAUGGCGAAGGUGGAACUUUUGCUCUGUAUUCUUAUCUGUGCAGGCAUAUAAACUUCCGAAGCAAACUGACCAUCCAAAGCACAAGAUUAGAAUCUGAUGCAACCAUGAGUUUUUACACCCAAGGGAGUGCAAUACAGUCUAAGACCAAACAAUUCAUUGAAAACAGUCGCGCAGCACAGAAUCUCCUCACGUUCGUUGUACUUUUGGGUACCUCGAUGGUGAUCGGUGAUGGCGCCUUGACACCGGCCACCAGUGGUAAGCAAUCGAUCAUAAACCCAACAUUCGUAGUAAUGAAUGAUAAUACUCGAAUCAUUAACGGUUGAAAUUCUCUUUCAUUAACGGUAUGUUUCUAUGGCACUUAAAACAUUCCUUCCACGACUAAUAAUCUUUCCGUACAGUUCUUUCGGCUCUUGCGGGAAUUCAAACACUUUCCUCAAAGAUAACAACAGGUACAUUUUUGUUCAUCUGCAUAUCAUGGUAUUUGAUUAAUAAUGAAACUACCAAAAUUAUACAAAUGAGUGAUGUUUGGUCAGGGUAUGUUGUGUUCAUGGCGGUUGUGAUACUGUUGGCUCUAUUCCUUUUCCAGUCAUGUGGGACGAGCAAAGUCGGGUUCUCAUUCUCCCCGAUCAUGUUUUUGUGGUUUGCUGCGAAUGUUUUCAUUGGCAUUUACAAUAUUGUCGCCUAUAAUCCUGCUGUCCUCCGUGGUUUAUCACCUCACUACAUUUUCAAGUUCUUUGGAAAACAAGGCAAAUCUGGCUGGGAGGUUUUAGGCGCCGUUUUCUUGUGCACAACAGGAGGAGAAGCCAUGUUUGCUGAUUUGGGCCACUUUAAUAAGAGAGCCAUUCAGGUGUUUGCCAUUACAAAGUUUAAAUGCUCAAUACUCUGCAUCGAGCAGCCCAUAACAAAUGUUUGCAAGUUUAGUUAACCAAUCACAAUACUGCUUUUGCAGCUGGCUUUCUCCUUCUUUGUCUAUCCAUCUCUGGUGCUGUGUUAUGCUGGUGAGGUAGCUUUCUUGUCUAAGCAUCCCGAUGCCCUGACCAACGCUUUCUACAGCUCCAUUCCUAAGACAGUUUACUGGCCGAUGUUCGUGUUAGCAACCUUGGCCGCAACAAUUGCCAGCCAAUCUAUGAUAUCGGCCUCAUUUUCUAUUGUUAAGCAAUCUUUGGCUUUAGGUUGCUUCCCCCGGGUUAACAUAAAGCAGACAUCCCCCAAACAUGCGGGGCAAAUUUACUCCCCAGAAAUCAACUACAUCCUGAUGAUCAUUUGUAUUGCUCUCGUAUUGAGAUUCAAACAAGGGGUUGAGAUAGGAAACGCAUAUGGUAAUUAAACCGCCUUUUUCAGCUAUAUGAAGUUCGACUCGAGUGAAUAUUGGUAUAUAUGUUGGAUAUUAAUCAAUCUUGGCCUAAUCAACUGCAGGUGUGGCUGUCAUAUGGGUGAUGAUAAUAACUACAUGUUUGGUGACGCUGGUGAUGUUGGUCAUUUGGGAUACAAAGUUUCCUCUGAUCCUUGCAUUUUUCAUUCCAUUCAUAUUCAUCGAGGGCGCAUUCAUGACUUCCUUGCUCAACAAAAUCCCUCAAGGUGGAUGGGUGCCAUUUGCAAUCUCCGGUUUCUUCCUGGUGAUCAUGCUGUCGUGGACUAGCGGGAGGAGCAAAAAGACCUCAUUUGAUGCAGAAAGGAAGCUGAGUCUAACGGAAUUCACGAGCGUGCUGUCGAGUAAUGAUCUCUAUCGUCCCCCUGGUAUUUGUCUCUUCUGUACCGACCUUGUCAAUGGGAUUCCGCCCAUCGUUCGCCAUUAUAUUCAGAGCACAAACUCUCUUCGUGAAAUUACCGUGAUCAUCACAAUAAGGACCCUACCAAUCAAAACAGUCCUUGCAGAGGAGCGUCUUGACGUGGGAAGAUUGGGAAUAGAUGGGGUAUACAGGUGUUUGAUUCAGUUCGGUUACAAGGAUUUGCAGAGCUUGGAAGAAGAUGACAUUGUUGCUUCCAUUGUGGCAAAACUCCGCGACACAGCUGAAACGGAGGAAGAGGCAGAAAAGCUUGGAAAAGCUAUGAAGAAAGGCGUGGUGUUCGUGGCUGGUCGGACUAUUCUCAAAUCGAAGGAGAGCAAUGGAUGGCUUUCUCAUUUGGUGAUAGAUUACUUGUACAGAUUCCUGCAGAAGAACUGCAGAUCAGCACUCACUUCACUUAAAAUCCCUCCUGGAAAGUUUUUACAAGUUGGGAUGCACUAUGAAAUUUAAGACCACCUGCGCGAUCCGUCAGCUUCACUCUAUGAUUCUAUCUAAUUAAUUUUGUUCGAUGUCCUUCAUGGCAGCACUAAUAAUGUAAGUUUCGAACUUUGUCUGCUGUAAAAUUAAGCACAGUCCUACGGUCCCAAGUCUUUGAACAAUGAGUGAGAACGAGGAAAGAUGGUAAAGCGUAUUGAACGAGUAUUAGAUGGAUACUCUCCUAAUGCAUCACAAUUAGCAUAGUGGUUCUUUGUUUUUAAAAAAUUCAUGGAGUGCAAUAAUAUAGGUUAAUGUAGUAGUAGUAGGGUAGAUUUUUGUUGUUGCCAAAAAAAAGUAAAAAAAAAAAGAGCAUUAGAUUAAUACCUUUGGUGACGUAGUAUUUUAUAGGCAAUUUCCCUUUAAUAUUACCACUUCCAUCAUCAAGCUUAACUUAUGCGAGCUUGGAACUUUUUUCCUAAAAAAAAAAAAAAUUAUUUUUAAUUCUGUUCCAAAAGAGUGAGGGUGCAUUUGAUAAAACUGAAAUCUAAAAUCUGAAACACGAGCUCAUCGAAAACAAACAGGCAUGCGUACGUAGAAGUUAAAAUUUUGAAACUAAAGGCUAUUCGAAUUUUCACGGCUUCAAUAGGAUUUUACAUCUUAGAUACAUACCACUGCAUGAAAAUUCUCGCCUGCUGCAUCAAUUAAUGGCUGCCAAUCACUUCGAGAGUUUAAAUAAUUAUUCUUGUUUCUGACCGUAGGUGGACGUGGAGCCAUGAAGCUUAGCGUUAAAAAAUGACCCAAUUAAUGUACUAAUCACUCGGACAGUUUAAUUAUCUUUCUUGUCUCAGUCCGUAGGUGGAACCAUGAAUCUUAGCGUUAAAAAUGACCCAAAUAAAUUACUCCCUCCGUCCCACUUUGAUAGUCUUGUUUCUUUUUUCACACAGUUUAAGAAAAAGUAGUUAACUUUGUUGGAAAAGUAAAUUUAGAUUGCUAUUUUUCUAAAAUACCCUCACAUUAAAUAUGGUACAACUUUAUGGGAACUUGAAUUGAUGGUAAAAAAAGAAUCAAUUCUCAUUAAAUGGGGUAGGUUUAUAGUAACAACUACUUACAUUGAAUAAGGGUAUUUUAGGAAAAUUAAAAUACAACUACAUUCUUAAAUUGGAGAGUGGACUACAAUUUGGGACAGAUGAAAAAGGAAUACAGGACUAUCAAAGUGGGACGGAGGGAGUAUUAGCUUUUUAGAACAAAGUAGUAGUACUUGCCGACAAAAGAGCGACCCUUAGUGGGCAUGGUGGAGCAUGCAUUUCCAUCCGUACCCGUUUAAACAUCCACACCCACCUCACUUAAUUGGUUUUGGAUUACUAAAAAAAUUUAGAUGGACGUUAAUGGACAUCCAAGUAAAAUCAAUUGGUUUGACGUUUUUAAGUGGAUGAUCAUCCACAUAAUCCAUCUAAAUCCAUUUUAAAAAGUAAUGAGCAAGCCCAGCACGUUUUGGCAGUACUAAUGAUAAUGUUUCUUAUAUGCUAACACUUUUUAUGAUGUGAUGUAUGUGAGAUAAAACGGUGAUUGAGAAUAUAAAAAGGUGAAUUGAAAAAUGUGUUUAUAAUGCAAGCGAAAAAUUUGCUAUCCAAACAUAGCCACAGUUGCACUCCCAGUCCAAGACGUUGUUCAGCUCUUCCCACUCACGCGAUCAAAGUUUUUUUUUUUUUUUUUUUCUCUCAAUCCAAUUUAGUUAUCAUCAGAACUCAUCCUAUUAACUUAGGAGUGUCAUUUUAAUCUACCUAUUAGUUAAAGAAAUUAACUUUGUGUUAGUCAAAUAGAUCUUGACUUUGUGUUAGUUAAAUAGAUUUUAAAUAAAAAAUUGAGUAUACAUCAUUCAUUUGGAUCCAAUCCACAUAUAACCCACUUAUUAUAUGGAUUUAAAUCGAUUUGAUUAUUUAAUCUAUGAUCCAUUUAUAUAAAACAAAUUAUGAUCCAAAUAUCCAUUUUUACACCUCUACCUAAUAUUACUUGAAUUCGAGGCUUAUAAUCAACAAGCUCUCGACUCUUUUUUUUUUGGGUAUUUUUUUUCCUUCUUUUUUUGGUUUUUUGGGGGGGGGGGGGGGGAGUUCAUAACAAUCAUGUACGUAAUUUGAUUUCGCUAUUCUUGAUACGUAUAAGCCUCUUAAACAGCAAUCAUUCGUUGAAUUUUUAUUUUUUAAUGUGGGCUCUGUUGUGGAGGCAAUGCUUUUAAAUUGAUUCCUGCACAUUCUGUAUUUCAUUCACAUGGUACCAAAGCCAACUUCGAAGUUCGAUUGCAAAUUCCAAAGCACUCACUAUAGCCAAUUGUCACGUUGGAUCAGAUUCAGGCCGCUCUACAAAAUAAUAACAAGCAUGGAAGGCAAAGUUGCUAACAGCUCCGUGCUAGAAGACGAUCUUGAAAAUGGUGGCACUGGAGAGGACACGGUCGGUUUUCGCCCAGCUGGUGCUGGAAACAUUAUUGAACUAUCAUCUGCCGUGGACAGAACCCUGAGCUUUAGUCGAGUUUUCAAGUCUUCCCCAACGCCAAACGAGCCCAAGGUCUAUAUAUACCAUAUAUGCUUGGUCGAUUGCCAUUUCUCAUCUUAGGUUAUUCAGUCACAUAUAUAUGUUGCCUUGCUUCAGUCCAUAGAUUAAACACACGACCGGCAUGUACACUCAACUCUAAACUAAGUAUCAGGCAACUUUUUUAACACCUAAACACAAUUUUUUUAACAAUCAUAUGAUGUGAUCAGGAAUAUCCAGCGGCGCAGACAUUGUUGUUGGCUUACCAAUCACUUGGAGUUGUGUAUGGAGACCUUGCUACCUCUCCUGUCAACGUGUUUUCCGCUACAAACUUGACAAACGUUACUGCAGAAGAUCUACUGGGGACCUUCAGCCUUAUGUUUUGGAGUUUGACUAUCAUAGUUUGGAUCAAAUAUGUUUUCAUCGUCAUUCAUGCCGAUGAUCAUGGUGAAGGAGGUACUUUCGCUUUAUAUUCCUAUCUCCGUCGACAUAUAAAUUUCCGGACCAAGUUUACAAUUCAAAAUACAAGGUUGAGCACUGAUGAAAGCAUGAGGUUUUCUAACCGCCCCAGCCCCCUACGUUCCAAGACCAAGGAAUUCAUAGAGAGAAGUAUCAGAGCUCAGAAUUUUAUUAUUGUAAUUGUUUUGCUUGGAACUUGCAUGGUCAUUGGGGAUGGAGCACUGACUCCAGCCACUAGCGGUAAUUUCUGCCUCCGAACCAUUCGAAGGAACAAACACAUAUCUUGACAGUCGGGGUUUCAUAACAAUCUCUUGCAAAACAAAAUGUAUUGUUGCUCCGUAAGAAAUUCAUAGCAGUAUUUGAAAUGCUCCUCGUGCGACUUUUAAACUAACAAUAAACAGCAUCUCGGGUCCAAAAGCUCUUUAAAAUCAGGGUUUAUUAUUUCUUUUAUUUUUUUUUCAAGCUCUUUUUUCCCCUUUUUAUGGGCAGUACUAUCAGCGGUUCAAGGUGUCCAAUCCCUCUCUCCAAAGAUUACCCAAGGUACGUACUUCUUGAUUGAAGUUUAUCUUCUUGAGAGUAAAGCAGUCCCAGGAUACUCACAGCAACUACAGAAUUUUCCCUUUUUUGACUGCCGCAGACCAUGUUGUGUUCACGUCCGUUGCUGUUCUGAUACCACUCUUCCUCUUCCAACGCUGCGGAACAAGCAAAGUCAGCUUCACCUUCUCUCCAAUCAUGCUACUCUGGCUGGCUACCAAUGCUUCCAUCGGAAUUUACAACAUUUUCAAAUAUUAUCCGUCCAUUCUCAAGGCUGUGUCCCCUCACUACAUAGUGCUGUUCAGUUCAAGAAAUGCCAAAACUUUAUGGAAUCUUCUUGGUGCUGUAUUCUUGGGCAUAACAGGUACUGUCCUAGAAUUUUCUGGAAAAGUUUUAAGGAUUUUCUACUUCCGAAUUUAAUGAAUUUGAAAGCAAAAAACUCUGAAAUGGAUCUGCCAGUAAAGCUUCACUUGAACUACAAAAGGUUCACUUGAAUUUCAUAUAUUGAUUGGGACAGGAGCCGAGGCCAUGUUUGCUGAUCUGGGUCACUUCAACAAGCAAGCAAUUCAGGUGAGGAAUCACAAAACCAUCUAUGAUUGCAUUUACGUUGGAAAGGGAAAAUACAAAAUAGACGUGUUUACUCGUGAACCCAAAGAAUACAUAUAUGCAUAUUGCGUCACAGGCAUAUUUAGAUUUAAUAAAAAAUUAGAACGCUGUACAAAUUAAUGCACGAUCAUACUACUAUUUUUAUUGUAUAUUUUUGUGAUGAGUGAAUAUUUUGGUAAGUAUUUAUUCGUCUAAUUUCUGGCUAUCAUGGUUAUUUGGCUACUUGAUGGCAAGGCAACUUAGCUCAUUCGUUGUUUUGUGCAGUGGGCUUUCUCAUUCGUUGUUUAUCCAGCAUUAAUCAUCACCUACGCUGGUGAAACGGCUUACCUAAUCAAGUAUCCAGAGAAAAUCAAUAACGCCUACUACAGUUGCCUUCCGCGUCCAGUAUACUGGCCUAUGUUUGUCAUCUCCACACUGGCCGCCGUUGUUGCUAGCCAGUCCAUGAUAUCUGCAAGCUUUUCUAUCGUGAAGCAGUCACUGACCCUCGGCUGUUUUCCUCCAGUCAAAAUGGUUCACACUUCUUCCAAGCAUGAAGGGCAAGUUUACUCCCCAGAAGUUAACUACGCCCUAAUGAUUCUCUGUGUUGGUCUUGUCAUUGGAUUUAAAGGCGGCGUUGCACUAGCAAAUGCUUACGGUAAGCUUCCCUUCCCUUCCCUUCCCUCAAUUACUGUCGAUGAUGACCGUACUUACAUAUAUAUAUAUAUAUAUAUAUAUAUAUGUAUAUAUAUAUAUACUAGGGUAAUUAAAAAAAAAAAUGAAGUUCUGUUGGCUUCUAUCUGUACACAUUGCAGGUGUGGUUGUCAUCUGGGUCAUGCUCAUAACAACUCUUUUGACCUCGUUAGUUAUGCUCGUCAUCUGGAACUCCAAUAUACUUCUAGUCCUAGGUUUUCUCGUACCAUACGUAUUAAUUGAGGGCAUCUUCAUGACGUCCAUGCUUAACAAAAUUCCACAAGGAGGAUGGGUGCCAUUUGCCAUCUCAGCUAUCCUCGGGACUGUGAUGCUGUCUUGGACGUAUGGAAGGAGUAAGAAGAGCAUGUAUGAAGGAGGAGGAAAGAUGAGCAUUGGUGAGUUAAACCAGAAGCUAUCAAGCACUUGUAUCUUUAGAACGCCAGGAAUUUGCUUCUUUUUUACGGACCUUGUCGAUGGUAUUCCACCAAUUAUCCGGCAUUAUAUUCAGCACACUAAUUCAGUUCGUGAGAUAAUGGUGGUAGUUACCAUUAGAACUCUUCCCAUCAAAACUGUCCUACCAGAGGAACGUUUCGUUGUGGGCAGGUUGGGAGUUGAAGGAGUUUAUAGGUGUUUGGUUCAGCUGGGAUACAAGGACUCGCUAAAUAUGGAAGGUGGUGAUUACGCUCGAGAAAUUGUGGCUAAGCUACGAGGAAAUGCGGACACUACAGCCGAACAACGAAAACUUCAUUCUGCCUCAGAAAAUGAAACUGUUUUUGUCAUGGGCAGGACAAUUCUUGCUGCAAAUGAGAACGAUGGAUGGCUUGCCCGUUUCACCAUAGAGUAUUUGUACAGAUUUCUUCAAAAGAACUGCAGGUCAUCAGUUUCGGCACUUCAUUUGCCACCGGAAAAGACAAUGCAGGUUGGAAUGCUAUAUAGACUGUAAAGCAAAUCUAGGAAGUCGCCUAGUUUCUUAGUAUAUGGAUGCUAGUACAAAAUGAAGCCCUUCAAGCUAAUAUGUACAUGAGCAGAAGAAUAUCCAAUCCUCGUUCCGGUACCUAUAUGUUCAGGUCAAUAAGGCUACAUGCAAAAUCGAUUUCACGCUUAACUCGAAAGUGAGAACAAGUUAGCCUACUUUCAAGGAAAGGAAUCUAGCACACCACUUUUCUUGCAGCCUCUAAAUUGAAUAUCGAUUACACUUGCAAACUAGAGAUUCUCAACUGCUAUGUGACCAUCUACUAACUUUUGCCAUCGUCUAAUUUCAAGCUUGCACCCCCACUGAUUGAAGUAGAUUGUAACACAAAAUUUUCAUAAAUACUAGUCCAGAGGCCCUGCGCAUAGCGUGACCCGUGUUAAUAGUGUGUUUGUGUGGUGACGUUUUAAAUUUUUUUUUUUUGUAAUGUGGUGAAUGAAUUGAUGCAGAAAAAUAUUUUGCAAUAUGUAAAAUAAUUGCGAGGUAGUUUGUUUUGAUUGAAUGAGGGUAAUUGGAAAGAAUUAUUGGUAGGUUAUUAUAUAGAAUGUGAUUUAAUGUUGAAGUAAAACGAUAGCGUGUAUAUAUUGUAUAGUUAUGAAAUUGGACAAUAUGGGAAUAGUAUUAAAUGUUGAAAGGCAUAACUUUAUAGUUAUUUCAUAUUGCAGCAACUUUUGCAAGUUCAUUAUCGAAUAUGUGCAUUCGAUACUCGUUCAUGCCUAAGUGGGUAAUUAUGAGAGCAUAGCAUAGUCAAAUAAUAUGGUAUCAUAGCAUUUUUUUUGCAUUCAUAGGUUAAAAAUUUAUCUUCAACUUUGAUGUCCCAACAUUUGUGUUGGUAAUAGAAGAUGAUUAUAUUGUUUUUGUUUGGCAAUAUAUUUGCUGUAUCUUCUGGAUGGAAUUUGUGCAGAAUAACAUAAAUGGCUAAAAUAAAUUUAUGUGCAAUUUUUUUGUAUGUCUUUGGGUUAAUACCUGUUUAAAAAAUUUGGCUUCCUAAAAUUUCCAUGUCCAUGGGCUUGAUGACUACAUAAAAUGCAAAAUUUAUGAGGAAACUUUAUCUUGCAGAAAAUGCUUGCAAUUGUUAAAUAAAUAAAUAAAUAGGAAGUUGUAUUGUUAAAUUCUGUGGAUAUAUUUUAUUAUUAAUUAUGUUACCAUGUUGCUUUUGCAUAUGUGCUUUCAAUAGGGAUGAUAUUCCAUUCAUAGAAGCUAGUGUAGUGAUUUGGGUUGAAAAUUUGAACUCUAAAUGUCAUCACUCCAAUGUGGAAAAAAUGAAUUAGUGAGUUUGGCUGCAGAUUGCGAUCAUCAAUGAAUUUUUUCCAUCUAGAGUUUUGGGGAUUUUCAUCUAGUUUUAGAAACCAUAUUUUGUUUCCAACUUUGAAAAUUGCUUUUCUUCUUAUGUGUGGUUCCAAGUAAUGUAUAAUUUUUGGUGGUAUGACCUGCAAUUAAGAUCUAAAUAUGUGUUAAAUGUGUUUCGGAGAAAAAUUGAUGUAAAUUAAGGAAAUUUUAUAAAAUGGAUACCAAUGUAUCAUCGUCUAGCUCAUUAUACUGCAUCAAGAAUGCAUUGAUUGGAAAAAUUGUAAUGGACAUGUUGGUGCGAUGAAAUCCAAACCCAACACGACAAAUAAAAUAAUAGUUAGUUAUAUAAAGUAAGAUUGGAUGUAUUAGCUUUUUAUUUGUUUUAAAUAGUAAUUGUACUUGAAUGAAGAUGAACUGGUAGAUAUAAUUGUAUAAAAAAGGCAAAAAGAUAAUAUUUUUACAAUAUAAUUAAAAUACUCAUGAUCAUAAUUGUGUAAUAAAAUAUAAAGUUAAAAGCUCAAGGCAUACCCAGAACAAAUGCUAAGAAGAGAUCUAAAUUUGGUAGACACAAUAUUUUCUUUGCUUUAGUUUAGCCAGCACAACUUCUUCGGAUUUUUUUUAUGGAUAUAUUUUUUUUAUUUUCUUUAUGAAUACAUAUAAAUGUCUAUAUAAGUCGAAACUCAUUGUUCCAUGUAGAAUUUACAUUGCAUGGUAUAUUUUGUAACCAUCAUUGGAAUUACUUUUACAGCAAUCAAUUAAAGUAAUUAUUUGUUUAUCCAUGCAAAGCAUUCACCCUUUUAUAUACUUUUAUAUAUGCACAUGUGGUUCAUAAACCAAACAUUCGAAGAACCAAUUACGAAAUUAAUUGAAAAAAAAUUAAAAUAUCGAGAAUAAGAAAGAGUUUUUUUUUUUGAAAAUGAAAAAAAUGAAUUCUAAGAAUAUAAAAGAAGCCAGUAAAUUAUAGAAAAUAUAAAAGAAAAAGUCAUGGGAAACAAAAAAAGAACAGAGUAAAAAGGGGAAUUUUCCAAUAAACAAGAGCAGAGGUUGUCAAAAGCACGGUACAAAAAACCAGCCCAUUCGUCUGGUCCACAUAUGAUAACAGUAAGUAAACAAAAAUGAGGGUCAAAAGCCAAUAAAAUUACAAAGGAACCAAGCAACUAAAGCAUACAUGCUGAACUAAGGAAACAAUGAAUGGCAUAACAGAAAAAUAAGAGAUAUCCAAGCCUAAAGUAAUACUCAUAAAUAUGUAUGUGGGCCAUGUCUAUGGAUGAGAAGAGGCAAGAAAGACACACGUAAAAAUUACAAAGAAACCACUUUACUAUACCGUCGAUCUUCCCAUGUGCUGAGUAAAAGAGGAAUAAGAAAUGGCAAAACCGAAAAAUGAAUGACCAUUAAGGCUAAUCCUAAUCACUCUAACAACCGGAAAUGCAAGAGACCGACGCAAAUGGAUCGAAAUACCCUCAACAUUUCAAGCAAUGCCGAAAUACACCCUCUCUCACUGUUCAUUCAAGCAACCCUCACUUUUAUAUAGUUAGAUAGAUAGAUAAAUAAAAUAAAAAAUUAAGUUGGCAUACCAUGUAAAAAGAAGGGCAAUUGCUUGGUUACUUUCGAACAUCAAGUUACAAGCAUCUAUAAGUAUAUACAAAUGAGGUUACGAAAAAGAAGAUUAUAGGUGUGCUUGGAUAGUAAAUUAUUUUUUGAAAAAAUUAUUAUAGCAAUUUUUGAUAUGAUAUAUACGAGAUUAGAAGGUGAUUAAAACGUGUUUAUAUUAUAUUUUACACGCUCCAUGAGGCGAUGAGCCAUCAAGUGAUACCAUUCUUGUUUUUAAAACCUUCUUGUGUUUCUUUUACAAUAAUCCGUCUCACCCCAUGCGACCUUCCAUGCAAGUGAUACCAUUCUCUAGGACAAAGUUGGAAAGAAAACAAAAUCUAUCCGAGCAAAUACGAAUGGACAACUGGAGGAUGAAGCCGAGAAAAAUUUCUUGCCAAUGACAUCGUAAGAACAUUCUUGACUAAGAAACCCUUGAGCAACAUAGGAAGCAUAAACUACGAAAGUUUCGUGUGAUGUUUUCCCACUAAUCUGGAAUUCUUUCAAAUUACUAAUAAGCUCACACCCUAAACUCAAAGCACAAAACGCACUAAGCAAUCACAUAUUAACACCAUCCGAGAUACUUGUAUCAGCAUUCACAAAUUAAUAUUACAUCCAUGUAAAAAAUUAACUUCACAAUGUCUCGUCUGGGAAUGAACUGCCAAGGUCAGCUCGGCAUGGUAAAAGAAUCAGUCACCUUUACACUGAACAAACUGGUAUAAUUGCAAAGCAGAUGCGCAGCAACCAAAUCAACUAAUUUGCACAUAUCUCGAUGGAAAACAAAACUGCCAUUCAUUUCCUCCCAAUUCUUGUUUUAACGCCACCUGAAAUUUGGAACCAAGAAAACAAGGUUCUAGGAUCACAUCAAUCUUAUAAAAAAAAAAAACUACAGCUACAAACUACUGAAGUAACUCUGAAUAUUUAACCAACCUUCCACUUCUUCAAACUGAACUACCUUCACCAGGUCCGCAGCCGCAUUGUACUCAAACCUGCCAGAUCAAACACCAGUUAUCCAAUGAUAUCAACAAAAAAGAGACUUUUACCAUGCUGUCAUUUAGCUCAAACAAAGUAAUGAUAAAUUAUAACCAAGAUAAAGAGAGGUUAAAUUAUUGUGCUAAUGAUUUAUAGUAUGUUAUGCAGCAUGCUUAAACGUUAAAAGAAACACUUUUGACAGAAUAAAUCAAGAAUCCCAGCUUACAAAUAAAAAAUAUAAAAUUUAAACAUAUGAAGAAAAUACUAGAUCUUGUACCCCUUACUCGAAGCAGUUAUUUCGACCACAUAUAAAACAGAGUAUAUACCAUCUCAGCAGUUCAAAAACAUUACGAGGAGUUGUCGAAAGUGGAAGUUAUUUCUCUAAGAGACAAGAAGCAGGAUUGCAGCUUUACAGCAUAUGAAGAUAUGAAAGUUAGUAAGGAUGUAUAAUUGUUCGCUAAAGGAGCUGAGUAAACCAUUGCUGCAACCUUAAAUGAAUAGUAGUUGUGUGAUCAACAACCACAAAGCAGAAAGAACAUGAGAAACUGCGGCCAGAACAUAGGCUGUCCAUUACCUGUUAGAGUGAAGCACAUCCAGUUCAUAGUCAGAUGCACUUUUGGUAGCUUCUACCAGGGCAUUUACAAUCUCUGCCUUUCGAGUACUAGCCAUAAGUAUAUCAUACUCUGUUGGGAUAAUUAUAGCAAAAAAGUUAUCACCCAGUUCACUCAAACUCAGCUUCUCAACAGCUGCUAGUGCAAUCCGCCUUUUAAGUGCAUCGCAGUCUGGGUCUACUACAUAUAUUGCAAAAUCAGUAAUCAAAAGUAUACGAUGCUUCAUCUUCCCAGAACCAGUAAAUUUCAAAACUUUAUCUGCAAAGAGAACUUUACUGUCACCUGUGACAUCAAAAGUCCGAGAAAACUUAGCGUUCAAGGAAGAACAUUUCAGCUAACUGGUUAACACAAAACUGAGUACAAAUAACUCCUGACGAGCAACAACAACUUUCAGCCUAACACACUACAAACCAGAGGUCCAAAGGAAACACUCAAAGAGCACAUCAAGCAGGACCAUCAUAUGUAGAGUACCAAAAUUGAAAAAAAAGAUAGCUCAACACAGCUGUUGGAAAAACUCUAGAACACCAUUUUCGAAGUAGGUUUGUUAUAGUACUUGACAAUUCUAACACAAAUAUCAAAAGAAGAAAGGCAAACAGUCACCACAAUCAGAAAAUCAUACAAAAGACCACGAACAUCUUGAAUCAGAGCAACAAAAUAGAAUGGAUUAAAAAGAAAAAAAAACGCACUUGCACACUUGAGCGCACGAAAAAAUAAAUGCGCAAAACUCAUACGCCUGGUAAGAGUCACAAAACGGAGUUCUUAAUUCCUCCUUUUCAAAAUUAUAUAUUUCGCUUAGAUCCAUCUUAAUAUUACACAAAUACACUCAACUAAAUGAUCAACGAUGACAUGUCGAUAUUUGCUACUAUAAAGAAAAAAGACAAGCAAAAAAACUGAGUACAUUAAAAAAAAAUCCAACUGAAUUUGAUUAGAGGGAGCAGAACCAGUCCCUGGUUAAUUGAAGAACAAAUAGAUACACAAUAACACCAUGAUUAACUAAUGAUAAUAACAUCAAGAUAUCCAAGGCUUCAAAUUUCAAGUUUUUCCGAUACAAUUUCCCUAAAGCACUAUAAAACGACAACCGUCAAAUUAGAAUCGCGUCGAGAUUAAAAGGCUGCAAAUUAUUACCUUGUUUGCUGAGAAUCUUCAUGAGAUAUGAUCGAGAACGCACGUUGACAUAAUCUUUACUGAAAAGGGUGUUAUUUUGGAUUCCUCCGUUUGAGUGGCCGUUGUCUCGGGUUUCAGGGGAUGCGGUGUCUUCGUUGUCGUCAUCGUAAAUUGGCUGGUCUUUUUCCAGCCGCCGAUUGGAUUGGAACCGUGACAUCCCGGGAAAGGUGGCAAGCCGGCGGCUUCGGACGGUGCGGGAUGCCGCGCCGGUGGUUGUGGCUGCUGGAUUUGUUUAGGCGUGGAAACGGGAGAGAUUAGACAUUUCGGAGCACGGGGCGGCCCCACUUCAGUUGGUGGGGUUCCAGCUGUUGUGAUUGGGAAAAUGUCUAAGUUUAAUUACAUAAUGACUCCUUGAAAUUUAAUGAUGAUACCUUUCGACCCCUAUUAUUUGGACAAGUUCACUUGGCGGAGUGUUUUUCUUAGAUUCAUUGAAAGUGCAUCCUUUGCAAAUGUUUCCCUCCAAACGUGAAGAAGGAAAACCCAACAAUUCACCCAAUUCACCCACUAAUUUGAGAUGUUGGAUUGGGUAAGUUGAAUAUUGAGUCAAUUUUGAGUUAGAUAAUAAAAACCCACAUAUAUUUUGGAUUGUUUGGAUAUUUGUGUUGGGUACCCAUUACCCAACUUAAGUUAAAAAAAAAAUAAACUAAUUACAAGAGAUGGGAUAGGGGAUACAUAAACAUUUCAUUGUUCAUGAAACAACAUGAGACAUGAGCCAAAGCAGGGCCUCCAUGUAUAGAUACUUAACAAAAUUAUAUGAGCGGCUUAGCUAUAAUACUUACUUGCAUGCGUUGACGUUUUAUUAUUUUCCUAUAUUUAGAGCAUUCCACUCCUUUUACUUUCAUAAUAUUUUUUGCCACUUCUUCUUUUGUCAUGUAAUCAAAUAUAAGCCCAUCUGGAUUGUUAUUUUUUGAAAAUUAUAUUAAAAAAAACAUACUGUAACAAUUUAAUAUAUAUAUAAUAACAAAAUAAUUAAAAAAUGCAUUCAAUAAAACAUUAUAAAAUUUUUGGGAUAAAAUAACAAUCCAAGAAAGUUUGCAAAUACCAUAUCAUAUGUGUGUCUUUCCCACUUCUUGUUAUACUAGUACACCAAUAUGCCCCACUUCUUAAGUGUGCAUUUGUAUUUGUAAGUGUUUUAGUGUGUGAAAAUAUGUCUAUUUAUGUGUUUAUGUGUGUGAAAAAGUUGUUUUUAUGUGAAAAUAUAUUUAAGAGAGUUUAUGUAUCAAAAUCUAUUAAUUAAUAUAUUUGAUCAUAUUUGGGUCAUAGGUUUGAGAUGACCCAAUAUGAUCCAACUCAAAAUUAACCCAAUCUAAAGUUGAACGGAUUGGUGUAACCCAUUUAAAUAAAAAUCCAAUCCAACCCUCCCAAUUGCCAGAUAUAGUCGGGAGCAUAGAUAUGCUAAAAAUCCAAUCCAACCCUCCCAAUUGCCAGGUAUAGUCGGGAGCAUUGAUAUGCCUUGACAUUUUGAAGGAGCAGUGAACCAUAGAUGUGGUUUUUGGCUGCUUAUAGAUGGUUGUAAAUUGAUGUUCGAAAGUAACCAAGUAAUUGCCUUCUUUUUUACAUGGUAUCUCAACUUAUGAUCUUCCUUUUCAUAUUCUAUGUUUUGCUUGGGAGAGCUAGGACAAAUUAACCUCAUUUGUACAAUAUUUGAGAGAGAGAGAGAGAGAGAGAGAGAGAGAGAGAGAGAGAGAGAGUGAUCCAGCAUCUUCAUGCAAAUAGCAGUUAAGAACAACGAAAUGCAAAGUAGUUGACCAACCUCAUUUUACAUGGCAGGUAUUCUUGGACGAGCAAAAGAAGAUACAAGGACGUACUACCAAACAAUGCGACUAAUUAAAGCUCACUAGUUGAGCAAUUAGACAUAAUGGGAGAAAAAUUAAUACCAGCAUAUUUACUCCUUUAAUUGAAGUAAGAAUGGUACACUAUUGUUGACCAGAAGUCGAAGCUAUAUCCGCAGCAAUCGGUGUAAG
rnacentral:lncRNA from 1 species